GAUGAACGCUAGCGGGAGGCUUAACACAUGCAAGUCGAGGGGCAGCAUAGGGUAGCAAUACUCUGAUGGCGACCGGCAGACGGGUGAGUAACGCGUAUGCAACCUACCCUGUACAGGGGGAUAACCCGGAGAAAUUCGGACUAAUAUCCCGUAAUAAUAUCCGGAGGCAUCUUUGGAUAUUUAAAGUUUCGACGGUACGGGAUGGGCAUGCGUAACAUUAGCUGGUUGGUAAGGUAACGGCUUACCAAGGCUAUGAUGUUUAGGGGUCCUGAGAGGGUGGUCCCCCACACUGGUACUGAGACACGGACCAGACUCCUACGGGAGGCAGCAGUGAGGAAUAUUGGUCAAUGGGCGCAAGCCUGAACCAGCCAUCCCGCGUGCAGGAAGACGGCCCUAUGGGUUGUAAACUGCUUUUCCAGGGAGAGAAACUUACGCACGUGUUGCGUGACUGACGGUACCCUGGGAAUAAGCAUCGGCUAACUCCGUG
rnacentral:rRNA from 1 species